UACGUAGGUGGCAAGCGUUGUCCGGAUUUACUGGGUGUAAAGGGCGUGUAGCCGGGCUGACAAGUCAGAUGUGAAAUUCCGGGGCUCAACCCCGGACCUGCAUUUGGAACUGUUGGUCUUGAGUAUCGGAGAGGCAGGCGGAAUUCCUAGUGUAGCGGUGAAAUGCGUAGAUAUUAGGAGGAACACCAGUGGCGAAGGCGGCCUGCUGGACGACAACUGACGGUGAGGCGCGAAAGCGUGGGGAGCAAACAGG
rnacentral:rRNA from 1 species